rnacentral:tRNA from 1 species
GCCCGGGUGGUGGAAUCGGUAGACACAGGGGACUAAAAUCCCCGGCGCAAGCGUGCGGGUUCGAGUCCCGCCCCGGGCA